CCUACGGGAGGCAGCAGUGGGGAAUGUUGGACAAUGGGCGAAAGCCUGAUCCAGCAAUGCCGCGUGAGUGAUGAAGGCCCUAGGGUUGUAAAGCUCUUUUACCCGGGAUGAUAAUGACAGUACCGGGAGAAUAAGCCCCGGCUAGCUACGUGCCAGCAGCCGCGGUAAU
rnacentral:rRNA from 1 species